rnacentral:lncRNA from 1 species
AAAAAUAUGGUUCACUGCGGUGGAUGGCGAGGGCAGAGACUCGAGAACUCAACCCUAGCUGUCAGCGGACCUCUUGGCUGUGCAGUUCGCUUGUUUUUAUUACUCUUUGGAGGCUGCCGGUUCCUUGGGUGGUGGCGCUUCAAAGGUGGGAGGAGAAACGCUGGGACAAGAGUGAUUCAGGUUCCCAGAAGGUUCCACCAGGCACGGCUAGACUUAAGAUCGGUUUUCCUCCCUUGCGCGUUGCUGGUUGCUUUUGCUUGAGGCUGUGAAGAAGACUGAAUUCUAGAGAAGUCGAAGCUGCUGGAGAAAUAAAAGCAGCUCUCCUUUGUGGGGUACCCGGGACCCAAUCUAAGAUCAGCUAAGCCCAGUCACUUUCUUCCUCUGGAGUAUUUCUCCUUGCAGGCCUUGCAUUCUCUCUACUGGGUCCUUGCUCACAAGAGCAAGCUGAACCCCCAGAGAAACUGCAAGAGCCCUGGAAAAACAGCCUUUCCGGUGUAAGGUCUUCCCUUUCUUCCAGCACUGGAUCCUGUAGUGAAGGGUCCCCCAUGCUAGACCUCUCUUUCCCUCUUCCUACGUUUAUGUGUCUGGCCCCUAGAUGAGUCCCAAGCCAUCCAGACUGAUAGCACUUGUCUUGUAGCUAUGUUGAUAAGAGGGGAAACGGGUGUGGUCCUGUUCAGACUCCUGGCAAUGCGCCCAUUAUCACAAAGGGGUGAAGAAGCAAACAGAAGCUGUCUUUGCAGGCAACAUUCUGUCAUAUCAAGAAAAAAAAAUACGU